AUGGAUAGAUUAUUAUUAGAGCGGAAGUCUUUAUGUUCUGGGCGGCCGAGUUAUCCUUAUUUUGGCGUUCCUACAAAAAAGGAGCUGAGGUCCAAUGGUUAUCCCCUCCCAGUUUGGCAGAAUGUGGGCAUGCGUUUGCUUAACAAUUUUGAAGAGAAAUUUAGUGAAGAUAUCUGGAGUAAACUCGAAAGAAACGUUGCUUCAAAUAUGUCUCAAAGUGUUGUUGCAUUGGCUUCAUUCAGUGGAAAAACAAGGUGUUUUGCUUGCACUGGCGUAUUCAUAGACUGCAAUGGGUCCACCACAAGAGUUCUGACCUCCGCAAGUUUGGUUAGAACUUCUGACAAUGAAAACAAGGUUGCUGAUAACCUUAAGAUUGUAGUGUGCCUUCCAGAUAAUCGUCAUACCAGAGGGACAUUGCAACAUUACAGUCUACAUUAUAACAUUGCCGUAGUCUACAUCAAGAAUUUCUGCUGUACUCAGACAGCACAAAUCGAUAACCAGAUGCUAAUUAAACCUCAAAAGGAGGUAGUAGCUAUAGGGCGCGUCUACCAAUCAGGCAAAUUAAUGGCCACAAGUGGGAUCGUGAUUGACAAACCAAGUAAGCUUGGCUGCAAAGAGCUUAAGAUUUCCACCUGUAAAAUCACCAAGGUACGCUGUGUCUUUUCGUGUGGUGGAAAUAAAUAG
rnacentral:rRNA from 1 species